UAAAAAUUCAACGCUGGUGAUAUAUGCAUCAUCUUUAUCUUGUAGAAAAGAGAACCGAAACACAUCCCCGGGAGUGGUAAAUGGCUGCCUCAAAGUGAAAUACAGAAUCGGAAACAAAAGUCCAGCCAAACUGUCACACGGUCCAUUCACAGAUACAGGGAGAAGACAUCAGUGGGAUGGUACAUUGGCGUGAACUCUGAAGAAAAGACUCUAUCUAAGAUGUCUGACCUUAAACACUGUGCUCCAGGGAUUCCAGGCUCCCCUGAGGUUGUUUGCAGACUGAACCACAAGCAGCGUGGGAACACAACCUUGAGGCAACUGCAGCUCCUACUUUGGCUUGGAAAGAUCUCUCUGAUGUGUGAUUUUUGAACAAGACUUCAAGUUGGGUAACCCUUAAACUCAAAUUAUUCUAUUUGCAUAUUGUUCUGGCUUAGACAGUAAUUAUUGCCCUCUGGUUUGACAACACAUUGAACAACUGUAAUGAGCUCUUACAUGUAUGCUAUUCUCUAUAUACUGUAAGAAGAUACUGGCCAGGUACAGUGGUGAAUACCUGUAACCCCAGGCACUCUGGCAGACUGAGGUAGAACUGUAAAUUUAAGCCCAGCCUGGGAAACAUAGUGACUUAGCCAGACCCUGUUUUAAAAAAUAAAAAUUUAAAAAGGGCUGAGAAUUCAGCUCAGUAUGAAAGCCAUGGGUUCAAGCCCCAGUACAGGGGGGAAAAACUGUCAAAAAGAUACAUCCUUAUUUUACCCAGUACUCAAUGAGGUUCUGCACUGGUGAGUUCUUUGAGUUCCCUAUUUUAAAUAAAUGAC
rnacentral:lncRNA from 1 species